GGUGGCUUAGUGGUUAGAGCGUCCGCCUCAGAUGCUGGAGGUCGCAGGUUUGAAAUCCGGAUGAGUCA